rnacentral:misc_RNA from 1 species
UCUCCGUUGGUGAACCAGCGGAGGGAUCAUUACAGGGUUUAUUAUAACUCCUAAACCCAUGUGAACCUACCUUCUGUUGCCUCGGCAGGCAAGUCGUAUCUUGCUACCCUAUAGGACCCUAUCUUGUAAGACGUUACCUUAUAAGGUCCUAUCCGGUAGAGAGAUGCGGUACUACCUGCCGGUGGACUGAAAAAAAAAUUCUGUUUAAUAAAUGGUAUUCUGAAUCAUUAUAUGGAAAUUAAGUUAAAACUUUCAACAACGGAUCUCUUGGUUCUG